rnacentral:rRNA from 1 species
UCCGGAGAGGGAGCCUGAGAGACGGCUACCAUAUCCAAGGAUAGCAGCAGGCGCGUAAAUUACCCACUGUGGACUCCACGAGGUAGUGACGAGAAAUAUCGAUGCGAAGCGUGUAUGCGUUUUGCUAUCGGAAUGAGAGCAAUGUAAAACCCUCAUCGAGGAUCAACUGGAGGGCAAGUCUGGUGCCAGCAGCCGCGGUAAUUCCAGCUCCAGAAGCAUAUGCUAAAGUUGUUGCAGUUAAAAAGCUCGUAGUUGAAUUUCUGGCAUGGGCGACCGGUGCUUUCCCUGAAUGGGGAUUGAUUGUCUGUGUUGCCUUGGCCAUCUUUYUCWUKUUUUUUUUGGKGAGARAUCUUUCACUGUAAUCAAAGCAGAGUGUUCCAAGCAGGUCGUAUGACCGGUAUGUUUAUUAUGGGAUGAUAAGAUAGGACUUGGGUGCUAUUUUGUUGGUUUGCACGCCUGAGUAAUGGUUAAUAGGAACAGUUGGGGGUAUUCGUAUUUAGGAGCUAGAGGUGAAAUUCUUGGAUUUCCGAAAGACGAACUAGAGCGAAGGCAUUUACCAAGCAUGUUUUCAUUAAUCAAGAACGAAAGUCUGGGGAUCGAAGAUGAUUAGAUACA